rnacentral:rRNA from 1 species
UACGGGGGGGGCAAGCGUUGUUCGGAAUUACUGGGCGUAAAGGGCUCGUAGGCGGCCAACUAAGUCGGACGUGAAAUCCCUCGGCUUAACCGGGGAACUGCGUCCGAUACUGGAUGGCUUGAGUUCGGGAGAGGGAUGCGGAACUCCAGGUGUAGCGGCGAAAUGCGUAGAUAUCUGGAGGAACACCGGUGGCGAAGGCGGCAUCCUGGACCGACACUGACGCUGAGGAGCGAAAGCCAGGGGAGCAAACAGG